GACCUCCCUCUUUGGGGCAAUUGAUCGUGGGGCUCCAUGAUCGAUUGCCCAGCAGAGGGAGGCC
rnacentral:pre_miRNA from 1 species